UUUAAAAAUAUGGUGGCAGUUCGUGUUUUUGCGGGGCGGGGUCCCAUACCGGAAAUCGCCGAUAACGCUCUGACGCGAUACGACGCGCGCCGUAGUUAUGUAGUUACUCUCUAGCUACCGCGAAAUAUGCAUUACCUUGUCUUUUGACUGCAAAGCCGAGUCUUAGAAAUAAUAGAACAAGUGAAAUGGUGUGCAGGUGUACCAUUGUCGAGUAAUUAGUCGAGAGAAAGAGUCAACUGCAACUGCUAAAACGCAAGACGAUGUUUUUCUCAUCCCCACCAGAUCUGUUAGCGUUCGGUCACAGCACGCAAUCGCCUGUUACAAGCAGUGAGGAAAAGUGGAGGGACAUAUUUCUCGUGUUGAACCCACACCAACGGCGAAACAUUGCAUUGCCAACGCAGAAUUUGAGUGGUGACCAACACCCGAAUCAGCCUGAAAACUCUGACCACGAUACUUUAAAAAUGGACUUCUCUAACUUUACAAAAAUACCUAUUAUAAUUGUGGUUCAAACGAAGUGAAGUGAAGUGAACUCUAUUUGUGAUAGGACAUACAUCUGCUGAACUUUGCUGUUUGUUUUUCUCAACAUAUUUGGUUUGACUGUUCAGAACACUAAGAACUCAUAACAAGAAUUGAGUAGAUCAGGAAGCUACAUAUCUAUGGGUCGAUAUGCGUCUAUAAAUCAUUAUGUGUGAGUUAUUUUAUAUGUUGCCAACACUUUCCUUAACCGUUAUUAAUAUGAUGAAGGGCUAAAGAGAACUGUUUAGUCGCUCUUAAAAAUGUAAAAAUGUAAAAUUAGUUCAGAGAAUUUACUUAGUUCUCCUACUUCCCUUAAUAUCUCGGAAAACUAUAUAAGACAAACGUAAGUUUGGGAAUGUUUCAACUCAUUUUGUUUCUAAUUAUCUUAAUGCCUCCUUCUUUGUGUCAUUGUUAUUUUUAUAGAGCUUUGGUUUAUCUUUGUUUACUGAUACAUUCAUUCUGAACCUUCAAUCUUUGAAGAUAACUUGGUUAUGGAAACGCGCAUCAAACAGUUUAUUUUCUUAUGUUGGAUGAUAUGUACGUUACAAAGGUCAUAAUUCUCUCAUUCUGGUUUGGAUAUAAGUUCCAAGCUGUGAAAUUUUGGUAUGAUCAUCAAUUCUAAAUAUUAAUAGAUUAAAUUUUUACUGGAUUUAUCCGAAUAAGCAAAAAAUGACAUUAUAGUAAACACAACUAAUUCAUCUGUUUCAGUUGAACAAUAACCAAAUCAAUUAUAAAGAGAAAGUAUCCUCUAAGCUAGAAUGCUAGAAAUGUUGUAUAAUUUGGAAAUACAUGUGGUGUUCUGAACCAUUUAGUCGCACCAUGUUAAAAAAUAACUAUUAUUGAAAGCGUUUUUAAAAAAAAAUUGUGCAGACCAACCGUCUUGUCGGAAAACAAUCACUCGUAGUUGAAAGAAAGUGAUUUUUAUCACUAAAUUUCACUUGCUAGAUUUUCUCCUGAGAAAAUAUUUCUUUAGUUGUUUUCACUUUACCUUGUUCAGCAAUGUUUUUGAAUGAACAAGUAUUACUAGUUCAAGCAGCAGAAAAACAAUUUUCUUGAUUUGAUAUUGAAUCUGGUAGAUCGCAUUUUUUUGGAUUUCCGAAAUUCUGGAUAUAACCAUACUUCUCAAACUCAUCUGAUUAUAGUGGAUUUUAUAGGAAUUUGCCUCCCGCAUAAGGACAAAUAAAUAAAUUAAUGAAUUGUUGAUUUAUGUGACCUCCAAAACGCAAUUUAAUUAAAAAUCUGUACUAUUUCGUCUUCCGUGUAUAUUUUAUAAAAUUAUAAUAAUAUCAGCUUAAGGCGCAAAUGCAAAUGAAUCCAGUUUACCAACUUUAUUAUAAUUUAAUGCAACGUUCUCUUGAAAUUUACACUGAAUAGAAGUAAAUUGGUUGAAAAAUUUACAUUAAAAUUCUUAUGUUCUGUAAAAAAACAAGAAUUUUUUCUAUAACCUUCAUGAUCUAUAACAUCAUGAUCAUUUUUUAAACAGUAGGAUCUUUGGCACAGUAGUACAAUCUGAUAAAAUAAAUUAAAUACUAAGGGAAGUUACCUUUUUCAAAAGUUUUAUUCUACCAUACGAAAUUAAAAGUUGGAAUAAAUAUUAUGAAGACGUAUAAUACAAUAACAAGCAAAUUUUAAUUCCUACUUGUAAAUUAGUAAUUGGUAGGUCUUGUCUAUCUAGUUGCUGAGUAAUCAAUACCAAACACUCGAAGGGUUAAUAAUUCUUUCAUAAUUAACUCAUAGUUAACUGUUAUUAGGGGUUAACAUAAUUGGCUAGAAGUUGAUUAGUUCUCACCCUUUUUUCAUCGAUUAUAAACUCGUGAUUGGAGGUUUCGUUCGUUAAAAAAAUUCAUAUUAUCUCCAUGAGGUUGUCUCCCUAAUCACUAAAAACAUAAUAAUUAUGACCUUACAAAUAAAACUCGACAUUUCAAGAGAAUUUUCUCAUGCAAUGGCGUUUGAUUAGGGAAGUUCUGCUGCACGAAUAUAUUAAAUGACACUACAGAUGAAUAAUUUAAAUAUAAACAUACAAUAGCACAUCUAUAACAUGCCAUGACGGCACAACGUAAAUAUUUGAAUAAUUAGUUCUGUUAAUAGAAUCAAUCAAUCAAAUUAAUUUACUCAUAUUUUUGAAAUUUCGAAUCGCAAUAUGUGUGCACAUAUUAGUAUGUCUUAUCGUGCAAAUUUUCCCCAAACUGUUUAUCUAAAUAAUAUUUAAUUCGUGGACUACUAAUCGGCAAUGUCUGAAUAUCGAUGUGUGGCUUAGAUGUUAGGGGCCAUGAUGGAUGGCUGACGUCAUCCCAAAUCCAGUAAGCCGUAUCGAGGGGGAUAUGUUGUCAAUUAGGUGCAACUCUGUUCCCCUCUUCAUCACAUGCAUGUUCCUCCCACGCGCGACAUUGCUACACUGCGACUGGCUUCCAUUUUGAUUGCAAUUUUAACCCUCUAGUAUUCGAUUUCAUCCCCCUAGGUUAUAGAACAAGGUAUUAUCAAGAAAAUUACCUCCUAUUUGGGAACAACUAAACGUUUAAUCGUGGUGUAAUUGAAAAUUAAAUUACAUUUUUUUCUAAGGUUGAUGUUGAUACCCUUUUUUAGAUCAAAAGGGAAGAAAUUAGAAGUAGUGAUUUAAUUAGAAAGAUUAAACACACGGUACAUUUUAUUUUUUCUUUUAGAAUUUUAUAUAUAUAAACUAUAAAGUUUUAUAGUCUUCCUUCUAAUUAAACGCUUCUAAGUUAAAUGUUAUGUUUUCGUUUAAUAUUUUUUACUCUAUCUCCUGCUUUCUUUCUCUUAUUGGAGUGUUUAUAACACUGAGGUGUGUGAACUCUUCUCUUGAUUCUAUUUUGAUCUUUUCAGCCAUGUUUUUAUUUUCUAAUCUUGAUAUUUUUGUUUUUCCUACAUUUAUUCUUUCCCAUCUUUCUAUCUUGUUCUAUAACUUCCGUCAGCAUAUCUUCCAUUACUUUAUUUGUCUUGGUAAUGACGACGCUACAAGUUUCUCUGUUCAUAGAAUCAAAAGACUGCUGAGGAUUAACUCUAGCAACAUUUUUUGUUUUUUAUGUUGAUUUUUUUAUUAUUUAUCACAUUGUAUGUAUCGCAUCUAUAGGAAACGUUAGGAAUAGAUGUUUUUCCAUUUAUUUGAUAACAAAUAAUACAACUUUCUCGUUCCAAUUUGAUACUAUACAUCAUAGUCUCCCUCAAGAUACCCUUACGUUUAUUCAGCGAGAACAUUUUUGUCUAUGAACAAACAAAACACACUUGUACUCAAUCUAGGAUUUGGUGUAAGCCAAACCUAAUUUGAAAAGUAGAAUUGCUAGCAAACACUCGCGAUAUAGUACUUUUCUUUCCUUGUAAUACAAUUUCUAUUCAUUAAAUAUUGUUUUUAUAUUAUUUCAAGUAGACGUUGAUCAAAAUACAGAUACCAUAACUCUACCAUUAUCUAAGGAUCUAAAAGGUAUACUCAUAAACUUCACUUAGUUGAAAAUUGCGGUGUGAUAAAUUGAUUCCAAUUCGAUGAAUACAUGAGUAUUCGAAAGCUCGGAAACGAUUCAAAAUUUAUUUCGUAAUUAUAAGUUCAGUAAGUUAAUGGAUAUAAAGCUCUUUUGAUUUCACAACCAGAACACUUAGAUGCCAAUUAACCUUUAUACAUAUAGUCUACAGUCUUCACUAAUUUCGAAUUAUUAGUGCUAGUUACAACUAGACGAAAUUGUCAAUUCGAUAACGACGUUAAUAAUGUUGAUAAUACUACUGGUUUAAUUAACACGACAAUACGUUUUCUUCAAAGAAUAGCGCCAAUAUUCUUACACGAACAUUUUGAGUUUUACAAUAAAACGUAACCUUUGGAUGCGAGAUUAAACAUGUCUGUUAUCCUUUUACUUUAUCUACAAUCUAUACUCAUUAAUUCGUUGACAUGUUAGCAUAAAGCGUGUUGUCGACAAAAUUCAUACAUCGUUUACUUUUGGCCCCCCUAAUAGCACUCGUAGCGACAGAGACGGAUUAAAAGAAACUGUUUGGAAUGUGUAUACCAUGAUCUUGGUAUUUGAAUAAAUAACCUAUUUUAUGUCGACGAUAAAAUCUGUUCCAACCAUACGGAAAAGAUGCAAUUGACCAUUCAAAUUCUUUAAACUCAAAUUAAGAUGUUGAAAAAUAAUUGAAAAUGUUAUCUAAAUUUUUCUUACAUCAAACUCAAAUGAAAAGUGUUCAGUCUUCUAGACAAUAUCGCAUUAAAUCAAAAAAAAUAGCGAUUUUUCGACUUCCUCAAUCUAAUCUCCUGAUUUAAUAUCUUCCAACUUUUUUCUGUCCUUUUCUUAUUUGUAAAUCUUCAUAACAUGAAUAAAUUUUAGUUUCUCAUUCCUUUUUCCUUUCCACAAGAUCACAAAAUGUAAUAAAUAACUUGCUCAUUAUCAACAAAUACUUCUCUCCUUACCUUUUAGAGAUAUCCAUAAUAUUUCCAAAUCUUUAUUAAAUGAACAUUAUAAUAUUAUAUUUAUUGUUUAUUCCGUGGAACUAUAAUUAAGUUACUACCGAUACGGUCCUGAUAGCACCCCGCUGGAUGUCGAUGAAGCGCCGUGCAUACAUUACAAGAGUCCCCCGAAGAGUACUAAUCCUUGGUAAAUUGUGUUUUAGUCUUCGCAGGGAGAUUGAUUGUUUGAAAGGCAGCAACGUUGUAAGACAUGAGAUGGACGUAACUAAGUAUAAUGGAAUUAAUAUUUUAUAACGAACGACACCUUAAUUUCUUAUAUACUUAUCUAUUCCAAUUAAGAAUCUGUCUAGUUAGUAUGAGAUUUUUUACACUGAUAAUAAGAAUGAGUCCUUACUAUUUAUUUUACGAGGAAUAACAGAAAAAAUAUUUUGAUAAAGACUGAAAUAGGUUGAAACGUCAAUUUCUUACAUGUUUUAAAUUCUAAUUUUCAAUCGAAAGAAACUCAAAAUCAAAACAAUGUUAGUAUCAAAAACAUGAAAAAGAAAAAUGAAAAUGAUUUAUAGAAAAAUAUUUAUAUCAAAUAGUUGAUACUUUGUACAUUUAGUAUGUUCACAUAUUCUCUAUUUUCCUCUUUCCGUUCUCUGAGUAGUUAGUUUUUUAUUCAUUACUAUUACUUAUUUCAGUAGGAAAGUGUCAGGUAUUAAAGGCGAAAUUGAAGAAAAAAAUAGAAUAAAAUUGGAUUUUUCUAUAUUAAUAAUCACAACAAACAAGUUUUCGGUAUAAAUUUUUGUUCUUUACUAAAUAGUUAAUCAUGGAAGUUUAAAAAGAAGGCGAUGAGUUAUGAAGAAUUUUUAAAAGAUCAGACGAAAAAUUAAGUCGUCAGAAUUCUACCCAUUCAAAUUUUCAGUUCCUUAAAUUGUGGAUUCAUUCGAAAACAAAGAUUGCAAAUAUUCGUAUCAUCAAUUUCUCAUGAAAAAAGUAAUGUUAGUGAACAGAUUAUGCCAAAAUGGGAAUAUUUUUGGAAAACAUACGUGGAAUAUUCCUUCAUAUUCAAAUUCUAAACAAGAAAUUUUUGUAAAAAUGAAUCUAUACUUGAAACCAAAUUAACGGGUAAUUAAUUUGUUCAUACAGGAAUCUGUUCCAUCCUCUUAACACCACUUUGGUUAUUGUUUAGAAUAAUAAGGGCAGCUCAGUCCAUUGAUUUAUGUUGACAGAUAAUAAAUUUAAUGAUUAUAUAUUAUAAUUGUAUUAUAUCAAGGUCCUCUUGAAUAUAGUUGCUCCGGUGUCGCCUUGUUUGAUUCACAUAUUCGAGAACUUAUGACUUAUGAAGACUAUUGGGUUUCAUACUUAUAGAAAAUGUUCAGAAUAGAAUUUAAGUUAAUGUUGAAAUGUUUUUCAUUAUUUGUUGAUCCCAAUGUCUGGAUGAAUAUUUCUGAUACUGAUUUGGAAACUAGUAUCAUCGGCUACAAUGGAAAUGCGGGAAAUUGAAAAGAAUAAUAUUAAAUAUUUCUUAACCUAACUCAAUGAUGUAGCUUAUUUAAAUAUAAAUCCAAAAUUACUUUUUUCAAUAUUUAUAACGGUUAAUUAAUUGAUAAUCUAUAAUAAAAUCAGAUUAAAUCAAAGGCUGCAUUUAAUUGAGUGAAAAAUUGAACGUAUAUGAAACUCGUCAGCAGUAAUUUCGGCAUAAGAAAAAAUAAUAUGAAUUACCUAUAAAUGUUUUCAUAUCCUGUUAAAAAUUAGUAGUAAUUAAGAAACAACCCUUUGAAAACAUCUGCCAAUGUUUGACUAAGCUUUAAAAAACGCAUUCAACUUACAUAUUACGCCUAUGUAUAGUAAUUAUAUUACAGGUAAAUUUGUAACCAAAGGGAUUGGAGAGAAAGGUGCACUGUUUUUUAUGUUAUUUAAUUUACUAUCCUUACGAAGCAGUUUAUUCGUAAACUUAAUUGAAAAUAUGCUUUACUUUACUCCUUAAUUGCAAGAGGGGGGCUGUUUUUACGAUACGUACAUUGUUCAAAAUUUCGUUGGUCGAAUUCUAUUUCAUAUUGUGCCACCUUUGGUAAAUAAUGGUUCUUCUUCGACUCAAAAUUUUUCAAAGAAUCAUUGCUUCAGAUUUACGACGCUGGUGGCUAAAUAUGGAAGAUAGGGGGGCUGUGGCAGCAAUUCGAAGUGUACUUCGCUCAAUUUUGUCAUCGUACAUCGGAAUAUUUGUGAUAAAUCUCCUUAUUUCCUCAUUUGGAGCCGUAUUUCUUUAUUUUUGUUAAGUUCGAUGAUAAACAAAACAUCCAUCCUUAUGGUUGGUUUCGUCGUCUGUUUACUGAGUAUGGCGUGUAACGGUGGAUACAAAUUUUAUUUAAUUUUACGUAUCGAUGAUUUUUACCAUUUUUCAAAAACAACUACAAAUUGCGUUAUUCACUUUGAUAUACUUACGGUUACAGCAAUUAUAUUGUCUGUUAAAUAUUUUCGCCAAAACAUACUAUUGACAAAGUUCUCGAGUUUUAUUUAUAGUAAAGUUUGGUGUUCUAAUUAUUGGUUUAUAUCUUUCGUUACAAAAAAUAUGGUGCUGACUAAUCAUUACUUAUUUGACUUAAAAGACACCUUCAUUAAUUAUUAUUACAUUCCCGCAAAGCUGUGAAAUAGUUGAUAAAUAUAUAGAGUGUCCCAUAAAUGAUGUCUGAAAUGGUUACUCUAUUUAUAAAGUAAUCAUACAAAAAGAAAGCAUUGAUAAUCGAAAUAUAACCGCAAAGUAUUUUAUGGUUUUAACAAGCUCUUUGCCUUGGUAAAAUCAUUAUUUGUAUCUCACCCUUCAAUUUCACCUAUUUUCUUUGCUGUCACGAGUGCUUUAAACUUCUGAAACUAGUCAAAAGUACUGUAAUGAUGUUUCCAUUGUCAAUAUAAGGUUCAUAUUCAUAUUCAGUGCAUACACACUAUAUAUGUACGUAUAUAGGAAGUUUGGUACGCUUUCAAUUUAAGGACGCGAUAGUCAUUUCCUUUAACUGUUUUUUACCGACCAUCAUCAAGUCGUUAAUAUCGUUCCAAAAUAACACGCUUAGCAAAUAUAACGUUCCUCCCUCUACCAAAAGACAUAUUUAUCAUUUUCUUACAAAGUACAACAUGUUGGAGUAUGUUUAUGUAAGCUAGUAAGUGUAGUAUUUAGUUUCCAGUAGUUUAGUCUGUUUUUAUAUGGAUUCUAUCAACUGAAAUUUGUAAUUCGUGAUUUUGAAGUGUUUGUUAUUUUUUUAUGUUAAUCAUAUUGGGAUUAUUGUAAGUACCACAUUGUAAUUAAUAGUAUUAUUCCUGAAAUUGAUGCGAUACAUUCCGAAAUUUUAAAAUAAAAUUAUAUAGUAUUGAUAACUAGAAAAAUAUUAUUAUUAUCAGAAAAGCAUACUCUUCAGCUUAUAUUUUGACUUCACAAUAACUGAUACGUUCUUAUAUGGUUUAUUUAAUGCCCCUAUGCUUUAACAGUAAAUUAUAUUUAAGAGAUAAAUGGAUUUUAUUGACUUUGCCCAUUUUAUCUUUAUAGAUGUGUACGUAUUUUUUAAAUAAAUAAAACUAAACCAUAAUAUAUGUUGGACAAACAUUCUUUGAUACCUCAUGAAGGUUGGUAUUUAGUGGCCUCCUUUGUUUGUUAAACCAGGAACUUAUCAGCAGCGUUGUGAUAUCUGCGUAUCAUAUUCCCUCUAAAAAAACUUUCCUAUUGGAUGAAUGAGGGAUGAGUAACAGCAUCAUACCUUAUAUUAAGUGGUUCUAAAUUAUAUGCAGAGCACUACGCUCAGCUUUAAAUAUGAAUUACCUAAGUAAAUCAGUUUUUUAAAGAUUUGUUGUUGCUGCGAGUUGGCAAAGAAUACAAGAUUUCUUAUACUCGAACACAAUUUUCAUGUUCCUUAUUAAAAAUGAUUUGUUUAGACGGACCAUCCAGGCUUGCACUACGGCUAGGCGAAUAAGAAAUUUUGAUUUGCUUAUCAUCCGUUUGGAUGUAACAAGUAUACCUUCUAGCGUACGACAGCCAAAAUUUUCUUGUGAUGAGACAGGACAAACAAAAAAUUUCUUGAUGUAAUAAUGCAUAAACAAAAAUAUAAACUGCAAAAAUGUACUUCUUUUUAUACAGAAACCAUAAAAUGAUUGUUAUGAGAC